rnacentral:lncRNA from 1 species
CGAUUACAUAAUCUUACAUUUAUUUCCAAAGUAAGCUCAAGUUAAGUUAUUACAGACCAGUUCUAAAAAGUGAGUGCAUAAGGGUAAUAAUUAUACAAACCGGGGAGACACAACUUCUCCCGAAGGACUAAAAAAACAAAAGAUCUCAAGUGGAGGACCGAGUCCUCCCGCACUUCAGUCUUGAUGUUCUCCCUUGGGAACCACCUUAGUACAGAAGCAGCAAAAGUCUGCUACUUCCCCUCCUAAAAACAACAAAGGGAUAAACCCUGAGUAUGGAAUUACUCAGCAAGUCUUACCCGACUAAGGAAAAGACUCUCAAGGGUAUGCUGGAUAUAUGGGAGUCAAGGUAAGGCUUUCCAAUAGUCAAAAGACUCUGUUUUGCAGAAAUGCUUACUAAAGUGGAUCCUUAAAAAUCCAAUUUUAUUUAUCAAGUUAGGUAGAAUUACCUGCACUAGAGUUCUUUCUACCCUAGUUCAAUCACUGGUCCUGCACUAGCCAAUUUCUUAACCAAAAACCCAUCAUCUUUAGUGGAAUGCUACGUGUAGGGCAGUGACCAAGUCUUCAUAACCGCGAAGGUACGGCGAUCCGAAUCGAUUAUACUCAGCUGAGGAUCUCCAAUCACACGACAUAUGUAGCACUUAACCCUUGCAUAUGUCAACCCGCCACCGGGGUUCUUAAGACCGGAUCAGGUUCACGCAAACCGAGAGCACAGAUACACCACCGUCCAGCCUCUUGCCACGGAGGGUACACGCUACUCUCGCCACCGCUCCACUCCCAUUUCGUGUUAUCUUAUUCCGGCCUUAGUCUGCCCGAGGCAAGGCUUACCCAUGACGAGGCAUGUGACCAGUUAAAGGGUCCUCGAUCAUCAAGCCUACAUCGAGACGGUCCUUAAUCGACUCAGACGGAGACACUACACGAGACUCUCUUUCUCGUGCAAGUCACCCGCCCGGUCUCAGCUUAAUCUUUUCAAACCUAAAGUUUGGUACCUGGCAGAGGUACAUCUUUUCCGAUGUUGAAUCCAUCACGGCCGUGAUGGAUUCACCAUCAAGUUUUAUUUUCAAAAACAUCCCUCCCACUUUGCCAAACAUAUUUUGUAAAACAAAUCCUUUUGUUUUUCUAAAGCAAUACUAAGCAAAGUAAAACCUUUUUGUAAAAACAGGAUCUCAAGGAGGGUAAUCAAAAUCAAGGAAGGCAAUGCAAGAAUUGUUUAAUCAAUCAACUCCUAUCACCUAAUGCAGCAAGUGAGAAAGAUUUUAAAAACAUCAAGGAAGGUGGCAAAUGCACCGGGGCUUGCCUUUGUUAUCAGAGGUGUCUUGCUCGGAUCCGCAGAUAUCAAAAUAAAAGCAAUUGUCUGCCUGAGGAUCAGAGGUGGGUGGUAUCCCUUCUUCAACAACUUCUUCUUCUUCUUCUUGCUCUAAUAUAACCAUAUACAUAUAUAAGGAUGGAUGUCAUGGAAUGCUCAUGAGGAUGCAAAGAUAACAUAAACUUGUUAUUUAUGUCUUGAGUACAACUUUCCUUCACGGAGUUCCGGGAACUUAGGGUUUCCGGAGUCGGUAAAGGAGUUCAUGGAGCAGGGGGGGUGGUUUUGGGUUUAGUGAUCAAACAAGGUCCAAAUCAAACCAAACUCUACCCAUGGCUUCUAAAUAAUGUGAAAAGCUCACAUAAAAAGUUUGGGGAAUUUUGGACUUAUUAUUUAUUUUCUAAAAAUCCAGAACCAUUGGUUUAGGCUGUUUUAAAUAUCCUAAAAUUCCCUAUUCAAACUAAAAAUCAUAAAACUAUUUUUAUUAAAUACUAUGGAAAAUAACAAGCCUAGGAAAAUUGGUCUCACAAUUUUAUGAUUUUUCUACAGUUUUCUACAAUUUUUCAAAGCUUCACUGAAAAAGAAAAGGAGAAAGAUAGGAACAGUAGUGGGCCGAAUUCCGGUCCAGGCGGCCCAACACCAGGGAGAACAGCGCGCUCGCGCCCGCGCGCGCGCCGCGCCCAGGCAAUUUUGCAAAAAGGGCCUUGCGCUUCAGGCUAAUUCGAAACAGGUCCUUUCACUAUUGCAGUGAGUCACUGACGAAUUGCACAAAUGCCCUUGGGUUUCCUUUUCUUUCCCGCGAUAACCCCUGAACACGCCAUGCUCGCUGUUCACCCUGGACGGGGUCUGUACCGGCCAUGGCCGGCGACGACUGCCCGGACUACCCACCGGGGAGGCAUCACUGACCUAAGGCAGCUUAGGAACAACCAUUAAACUAGCAUGAACUCUCCUGGGAAUUGCUUGUCCACGCAUACGGCGGAAACCGGGGCGUCGAGCUCACGUUCCCGUGCAACCAUGGCCGGACUGAGCGAACAGACGCCACCGAGAGCAUCACCGGCAUGCAGAGGCACGAAAACAGCAUGCGAAUUGAACGGCGACUCACCCGAAUCGGCUGGCCACGGGAGGGCUGGGUUUCACGGUGCGGCGGACGGAAUUGGGGAAAGUGUGGAAUUAGAGCUCGUCGGUGAACCACGGGGCGCAAUACUGGACGUCGAGAUACUUAACUACCAUACGGAACUACGGGCGCGGUCAAUUUGUAGGAUCUCCAAGCGGUGGUAGGGAAUUUUGGUUAAGCGCGGUGGCGGCCGGAGGGAACAUGGACACAGGAGCAAGGGAUGGGUGGCUUUUACCGUGGCGCUUCCUCCGGUGAUCACCGGUUGAGGAGCUACGGCGGCAAUUGGUGAGCUGGUGCGGCUAGGGACGACGUGGUGAGAAGCUUGGAGCGUGGCACAACCGCGGUGAAGCACGGCGACUCCGAUGACGGCCAUACGGCCACGUCGCCGGUGAACAACUCCGGCUGGGCUUGGGCGGUGGCGCCACGUAAGGUUGUUCCACCCCGACGUUAUCCGUUCCUUACUGAGCCAAAUUGCGACGGCGGCGACACGAAUUGCGGUGGUGAGUCACCGACGGUGAGAUACACGGCACCGCAGAUCUUUUGUUACUGUACCAUGGCAAAGAUCAUCAGCCGACCUGACAGCGUGAUUUGCAGGGCUAUUUACUCCCAAUUUUGUGUAGUGACGGAGCAAGCUUCCUAUACCAAAGUUAUAGCCCCAUGUUCCAGCUACAACUUUGCUAUGGGAAUCAUACCCAAACUUGCACUGGAUCUUAUUUAAAUCCGGGUUCAAAGAUUGACCCACCCCACUGUCAGACCAGUUUCAGUCAUCAGUCAGCCUGACAGUCUGAUUUUAAGUGGGAUUAUCUCCAAAUAUUCCUUAACAACUAUGCUCACAACCUUAAGCAAAGUUGUUAUCCUUUGUUUGGUCUGCAAGUUUGGUGUGGUAACCUAGGACAAAUUCUUAUUAAUUUGUAAGAUACAAGGGCUCAAAGUUGAAGAAAACACACUGAUUUCAGACUUAGACUCUAUAGUGCUUAAGAGGUGAUUCUUGCAAAUAAGCCCAAAACUUAGGGUUUAACUUGCAAAUUCACAUAUUUGUGAACCAAAUGACUAUAUAUGUUCAAACAUAGUAGUUUUUUACACUUUAGUCCAAAGGUUCACCACUUUUGCACAUAAGCCCCUGGGUUUUGGUUUUAGGGUUUUCCAGGGUUCCAAUUGAGGUUUCUGGUAUCCCAGGGGUAUAAAAGUGACUCAAGUUUAUUCUUGGGGUCAUUUUAUGAUUUUUACCCUAAAGCUUUUAGGUUUUCUCAACUUGGGUUAAAUUUUACCCCUUUAACCACUAUUUAGGUUUAAGCCCUUAAACCAGGGUCCUAUUUGUAAAACAGUAAAACAAUAGAACUUGUUUGAAAUUUUUGCCUAGUGAAUACACUCUAGGUGUGUCAAACAUAUGCAAUGCCAAUGCUAUGAUGUCAUGCUCAAGUUUUAGUUACAGUAACACCAGGGGUGUUACAGAGAGAUUUUGGGAUUUCACGAUUCCUCUUUCAAGGGAGAGAAAUUUGGUCUUUCGAGCUUCCUCUCAUCCAAGGGGGAGAGAUAUGUUACUUGGAGCUGUUGGUCUUCUGGGAGAGAUUUUGGGAGUAUUGUGACAGGGGGAGGAGAAUUGAGCCUUUUGGAGCUGUUGCUAGUCGUGUUGAGCCGUUUGCCUCUUUCUGGAGGAACUAGCUUUGAUUUUAGCUUUUGUGCUGAUUUUAUGCUCUGAUUUGGUUCGUAUGCUCCGAUGAAGCUUUUUAAGUUCUGAUGAGUUUUUGGCUGCUGGCUAGUGGUGUUGAGCCCUGCUUUUGCCUCUUAUUGAGGGCUUGCCUUUUCCUGCUUGGUCGUGUUGAGCCGUUGCCCAUUUCUUUGGGGACCAAGCUUUGCUUACUCUAAAUGACUUGAUUUGGCUUUUAUCUGGCUUUUGGUCAUUUGUGUGAGUUUCUCUUCUUCUUCCUCUUUCUGCUUUCAUAUGCUCAUAUGGUGGUGUUGACAAUGCACUCAUCAAGGGGGAGAUUGCGAACACAAGGUUGAUGUGUCCCUUGUGGUUCGGGUUGAUGAUGAGUGAUUGUCAACGGGUAGCACUCUGGGGUAGUCAGUGGACUGACCAGAGUGUGAGAUUAUGCUUGUGCAACCAUGUCGGGCGGCUUGUGGUGUGCAGGUGUGGAGCACAGGGACGGUGGUCGACGGCUGAGGUGAAGGUCAUGCGGGCUCAUGCUGAUGGACCGGGAGCGGUGAAGGGCGAGUGCUGGGUCUUGACUGACGGACCGGAGCAGCCGGGUGACUAGCUGUGGUGGCUGACACCUGGGACACGCACUCACGCGAGGACGUGGUGGAGUGGACCAUGUUGCCGGCGUGGUCGAGGACUGGCGGGACACGCGUCUGAUCGUGGAGAUGCGCACGCGGUGUGGUACUCACGAUGGGUUUGGUGGUUUGGGCCUCAAAACCACCCAGCGCUACGGAUGGCGGGUUUUGCUGAGUUUGGGCCUCAAAACUCGGCGGCGGCGGUUCCGGAGGGAACCGGUGGCGGCACGUGGCAUGAUCGCAGAGGGUGCGUCAAGGCGAAGCAACUCUGUGAGAAGGACGUGGCCGUCGGAUCAAUUAUCCAGGAGUUGGUCCAUUUCGCCCCCAGUGGAGUGGAUAGGCUCUAUGUAAAUAGGGUUAGUUUAGGAAUAGAAAUAACCCUCUAUGGUCUAUAAAUAGAGGGGUAGGGCUGAUUAUUUCAGUAUCCUUGGCUGCCAUUUUGUUUUAGACUACUCAUUCUAGAGCUCCUAGUUUUCCCUCUAGUAGCCACCUCUUGUGCCAAGUGAUCCACAGCGAUUUUGUAACCUUCGACUGUGUUCUUGAUCUUCAAGUUUAAUCCGAGGAAGGGUCGCCGGUACGGCCCACAGCGUUUGUUCACAUCUCCAUCUCAGUUUUACAUACUUGCUGAAAUUUGGAGUUGUUUUGGUCACUUGUUCUUCCUUUCCCCCUCUCUUGUGUUUUUGGUGGAAAAUCUUUGAUUCUUUUGAGAGGAUUUGGUUUGAGGAUUGUUUGGUGGUGAGUUGCACUUCUCGGAUCACUACAUACGCCCACUCGGUGCAGUUUUUGGUCGUGAUUUGAGAAGAACUCAGUUUGAACUCGUUCUAGAAAACCCCAACAAAACCCCAAUUUCUGGCUGUAAUUUUAGAUCUGCGGUUGACUCACAAGUCCGAUUGAGCUCAAAAUUUGUGGAGACCUUGGAAACAUAUCUGCUCAGGUGUGUGCAAAAUUUCAUCUCAAUCGGAGUUUGUUUGGUUCAGUUUUGGAUCCAAGAACAGAAUUUCGUGCUGCUGAAAACAGCACUUGUUCGCGACACGGUUUUGGACCGAUUCGGACUUUUCGGUGUCCGAUUUGCGAUCCGUUUGUUUUGCUGGUCUCAUGUGAGUAUUAGGAACAUUUUGUAAUCAUGAGAUCACUGGUUCGCUGAUGUGUUCUUGGUUUGAGCGCUUGCUUCAUCUCAAUUGAAGCGUGGCGUUCAUUUUCAGUGUUUGGAGGCAAAAUUUGAUUGGCUCCCAUUCACCCCCCUCUGGUCGUCUCACCGGUCCUACAUCCUGAUAACGAGCAGCAAAUAAAAACAAUAGCAGUGGAAACUCUCCUAAAUCUGCACCAGUAAACCAGCCAGGAAAAAAAAGGCCGGUGACUCCCCGAGCCGUCGCUCCAACAAUGUCCUAGACACGGAGGAAACAAAAAUCAACAAAAAUGCACAGAACAAGCUGAACUAAAAAACACGAGAAAAGACUGAAUCAAACACAGUGCACUAAGACAUGGCAAUAUGAGCAACUCUGCAUAAUAGGAACGCAAUAAUCUCUAAACCUGGCUGGGGAAGCGCAAAAAAAAACAGUAUUACCUGCAUGUCACCAUUCCCUCCUUAAAAUGAUAUACCAGGCCAUGCAAACUCCUAUGCAGCUUAUACCACACUGGGCAGAGCUAAGUCCAGUAACUACGAACUAAACACAAUCUCUAAACUGUCGUAGGAUUACAUAGCACGUCUAAGUUUGCAAGCGCAAAAAAUGCGCUUAUGGAAUCCAAUGGCGACAUGGCAACACCAUGUAGAGCUGUGAGCUCCCUAUUUCAAACCUUGUAUCCAUAAAUUAGGUCGACCAUUGGAUGUUCCGAAAGAGCGAGUGGAGCACUCAUAACUCAAAGCGCACAUGACAAAGGUAGGAUAGUGGCCAGCUUACCCCCAAAUGUCCCAGUCGGAAAGGGAACCACAGGCUCAGGUCGCCUACGGCAUCAUCGGAACGCCGACGGAACAGCGCUGCAAGUAACAGAAAUAAGAUUAGACUACGCAGUACACACGGGAAACAGAUCUAGAGAAGAACACAUGUAGCAAGGAAAUCCUGAACAAAUGGAAGCUAAGAAGCGAUACAACAGCUAAUCCUGGGCCUAAAGCGUGGAGCGGCGAGACAGACCAGGAGGCAAGAACAGAUCUCGCUAGCUUGGUUUUAAAAUUGGGAGAGGAAAGCCAAGAGCCGCCGCCGUAGGGGAUACAUAUGGGAGAGGAGGCACUCACUACAUGACAUGGGAACAGGGAGCGAAGGACAGAAGCGUCGUGCGGCGUGUAGGAAUAAACCCUGAGCACACGUUUAGU